ACACCAAGUCUCGAGGCCUACUUCAUAUUUUGGCCCAUGUUUUUGCCGCUGAAUUCCUUCUCAGUUCAGUGUAAACAAAAAUAUCACGUGGAAAAGUUGUCUCGUUAUCUGAUUGAAUUUAUAACUUCGCUCGAACACUUGUGCAGUGAAAAAGUAUCGAAAUAUUUCGUUCGAACGUCAGUUUUGUUUGGAACAGACACGGAGAUUGAGUGAAAGGGAAAGCACAAAACUGUCGAAAACCUUUACAGCGUUGCGAUAGAAAACAUCGAGCGAAACUCUCGAAACAUGAUUUCUCAAACUCGAUGAGAACGCGAUUAGUUUGACGGAUCAAAGGAAAAUCAAUUCCAUUCAUAAAAGUGAUAUUUUUCGCCACGUGUCCCGAGGCUGAUGUUGCGCAAAGGAAAGGCGAUCGCAUAGGUAAUUUCCGGGAAAAUGAGGAAAGUCGACGGCCAAACUGCGUCGGAGAUCGAGCUCAUGCGACAGUCGCGCAUGUAAAUAGCGAUCGCGACGCACCGCACAGUUUUCCUCGGUCUUUUCCUGCUGUCUCGCAAUAAUACAUCGACGAACGAAAGCGCACUGCGACGCAAAACUUUUUCUUCGACGAAAUGCAUAUAUUCGAAUCGUUCGCUGAUCAGAUUGCGUCGCACACUAGACAAAAUUCUGCCGUACAGUGACGCUCUGUUCGAGCGAAAACUCGUGACUCGAAAUCAACUCAAACGUCAAUGUCCAUUGCUCAAUUUCCUCAUCGUUAUUUAUUGUAAAACAUGUCAAUAAUGCUGGUGAUUAAUACUGUAGUCCUGACAACACUUGACUCUCGUUAUCAGCUGUCUCCAACAAUAUCGAACACACGAAUGCGAAUAAUCCAUUCCAAUGACCAUUUUACUUUCCAUAGAAUCGAUAUUCACUUUUCUACCGGCCAAAUUUAUUUACCCUGUCAAUAAUUGGCCCUGAGGUUCGUCAUUUUUUAAGCCAGCAACGAUAAUGUACACCAAAUUUUUUCUAGCCCAUAGAAACACGAUAAACGGUGAGAACGAGGAAGAAAUAGGUUGGAGACUCGCUUUGGGGAGUCGCAACAUCAAACAGCAAAGAUCCUCUUAUUACAAUUCAAUCGAUCGCGACGCUCGCUCAUUUCGAUAAAAAUAAUCGACGAUCUGUCAAACCAACAAAUUGGCAAAUGAUUAAUUAACUAUCGCUACACAAUUCAUAUUCGUUCGCAUAUUUAAAUUUCCUUCUCUGGGCUACGGUUGUACUCAAGUUUCGUAUAUUUCUAUGAUUUUUUUUUUUUCGAGCCGAUAAAAAAUGCACAAUUAUAAAAAAUAGAAUUUAUAAUCGUCUCUCGCCCUCCGGUCGUCCGCGACCUUCGCGUCCAUUUAUCUUCAGAUUUUGCUAUCUCGCUGUUCCUGUUUUCGAUCAAUCGGAACGUUGCUCCGCUUCUUAAUUCUCUUCCACGUUUAUAUUCUCUUUCUACUUAGCCAUUUCGAUGUGAUCUGUAAAAAUCUCGCUUCUGAGCACCUUGACAAAUGUCUCGAAGCUAUUGUUCUCUGAGAUUUCUGCAAUUAUUAUUUGUACAUCGACGAAUGAGCUUUCAAUAAAAUUUUUUUACUGCAA